GACGUAGGGCGCGAGCGUUGUCCGGAUUUAUUGGGCGUAAAGAGCUCGUAGGCGGCUUGUCGCGUCGGCUGUGAAAUCCCGUGGCUCAACUGCGGGUCUGCAGCCGAUACGGGCUAGCUAGAGUUCGGUAGGGGAGACUGGAAUUCCUGGUGUAGCGGUGAAAUGCGCAGAUAUCAGGAGGAACACCGGUAGCGAAGGCGGGUCUCUGGGCCGAUACUGACGCUGAGGCACGAAGGUCAGGGGAGCAAACAGG
rnacentral:rRNA from 1 species